rnacentral:rRNA from 1 species
UAAUUGGAAUGAGUACACUCUAAAUCCUUUAACGAGGAUCUAUUGGAGGGCAAGUCUGGUGCCAGCAGCCGCGGUAAUUCCAGCUCCAAUAGCGUAUAUUAAAGUUGUUGCGGUUAAAAAGCUCGUAGUUGGAUCUCAGUUCCAGACUGGCGGUUCGCCCUAGCGGCGAGUACUGUCAGGCCUGAACAUGGAGCCGGUUUUCCUUGGUUCUCUUUACUGAGUGUCUUGGGCGACCGGCACGUUUACUUUGAAAAAAUUAGAGUGCUCAAAGCAGGCUGUCGCCUGAAUAAUGGUGCAUGGAAUAAUGGAAUAGGACCUCGGUUCUAUUUUGUUGGUUUUCGGAACUCGAGGUAAUGAUUAAGAGGGACAGACGGAGGCAUUCGUAUUGCGACGCUAGAGGUGAAAUUCUUGGACCGUCGCAAGACGAACUACUGCGAAAGCAUUUGCCGAGAAUGUUUUCAUUAAUCAAGAACGAAAGUUAGAGGUUCGAAGGCGAUCAGAUACCGCCCUAGUUCUAACCAUAAACGAUGCCAACCAGCGAUCCGCCUGAGUUCCUCAAAUGACUCGGCGGGCAGCUUCCGGGAAACCAAAGUGUUUGGGUUCCGGGGGAAGUAUGGUUGCAAAGCUGAAACUUAAAGGAAUUGACGGAAGGGCACCACCAGGAGUGGAGCCUGCGGCUUAAUUUGACUCAACACGGGAAAACUUACCCGGCCCGGACACCGGAAGGAUUGACAGAUUAAGAGCUCUUUCUUGAUUCGGUGGGUGGUGGUGCAUGGCCGUUCUUAGUUGGUGGAGCGAUUUGUCUGGUUAAUUCCGAUAACGAACGAGACUCUAGCCUACUAAAUAGUGGACCGAUCCCUUGAGUCGGUCGAUCUUCUUAGAGGGACAAGCGGCGUUUAGCCGCACGAGACAGAGCAAUAACAGGUCUGUGAUGCCCUUAGAUGUCCGGGGCCGCACGCGCGCUACACUGAAGGAAUCAGCGUGUGCUCUCCCUGUCCGGCAGGACUGGGUAACCCGUUAAACCUCCUUCGUGAUAGGGAUAGGGGCUUGUAAUUGUUCCCCUUGAACGAGGAAUUCCCAGUAAGCGCGAGUCAUAAGCUCGUGUUGAUUACGUCCCUGCCCUUUGUACACACCGCCCGUCGCUACUACCGAUUGAAUGAUUUAGUGAGGUCUUCGGACUGGCGCUCGGAGCGGCCUCCGGGUCGCGCCGGCGUGCCGGAAAGAUGACCAAACUUGAUCAUUUAGAGGAAGUAAAAGUCGUAACAAGGUUUCC